UACGAAGGGGGCUAGCGUUGCUCGGAAUCACUGGGCGUAAAGGGUGCGUAGGCGGGUCUUUAAGUCAGGGGUGAAAUCCUGGAGCUCAACUCCAGAACUGCCCUUGAUACUGAGGAUCUUGAGUUCGGGAGAGGUGAGUGGAACUGCGAGUGUAGAGGUGAAAUUCGUAGAUAUUCGCAAGAACACCAGUGGCGAAGGCGGCUCACUGGCCCGAUACUGACGCUGAGGCACGAAAGCGUGGGGAAGCAACAGGG
rnacentral:rRNA from 1 species